ACUUAAAUUUUAAGCUUCUACACCUAAAAAUAAUUUUAAUCCAACAUCGAGGUCGCAAUCUUUUUUAUUAAUAUGAACUUUUAAAAAAAAUAACGCUGUUAUCCCUAAGGUAAUUUAAACUUUUAAUCAAUAAAAAUGGAUCAAUUAAUCAUAUAUAAAUGUUUUAAAAUAAUAAAAGAUUAUUAAAUUUUACUGUCACCCCAACAAAAUAUUAAAAUUAAUAAAAAAUUAAAUUAUUUAUAUAAAAAUUAUUAAAUUUAAUAUUAAACUCUAUAGGGUCUUCUCGUCUUUUAAUUAUAUUUAAGCCUUUUAACUUAAAAGUUAAAUUAUAUUUAAAUUUUUAUGAUACAGCUAAUAUUUCGUUCAACCAUUCAUACAAGUUUUCAAUUAAAAAACUAAUGAU
rnacentral:rRNA from 1 species